rnacentral:lncRNA from 1 species
CAAUACUGCAGAGAUGGGCCAAGCAGAUGAAAUCUGAUUAAGGAAUGUUUCCCUUAAAGGGUAGAAUCCUUCUAUUUGAGUGGCUGGAUCUCUGCAAAGGAAGAAACAGUGCCCAGUAUGAGAGAGUGGCCUUUGCUGUAGCUGCUGUCCAAGGAGAUCCUGUUUGCCCUGCUGGUGGAAUGGGUUCUGUACAAACAUCCAGGGAAGGAUGAAACCCUGCUGGGAGGAACUUAGCUAACACUUGAGUGUCUUCAGCCACACAGCAGCAUCACUCCAAAAUCCAUCAUGGUCUGCUACAGCUGAGUCUUUCCAAUUUGCCUGAGGGCAAAUCAACAGUCCUAGUGCUAAUGUACAUCUGUUAAGAGCUGUAAGAACAGCAGAGACUGUGAAACUCUGUGGCUGAAAUACCAAAUGGUGAUUACUCCUGUAAUGUGUUUUGUGACUCUUUGGAAGCUGUCAAAAACCCCCAUGAAUGAUGCAGCAUGUUAAUCUGCUUUAGCAAAGUGUUGCUGUGUGCAGCCCAGUGUAUGUUGGGGGGGAAGAUAAACGAGAAAAUGCACAUAAAUAGUGGAGAGAGGAGAUCCCACAGAAAUAUGUGAGGAGGAACAGAGGGGAAGGGCUCUGUGGGAUUGAG